rnacentral:rRNA from 1 species
GACGAACGCUGGCGGCGUGCUUAACACAUGCAAGUCGAGCGGUAAGGCCCUUUCGGGGUACGACGAGCGGCGAACGGGUGAGUAACACGUGGGUGACCUGCCCUCCAGCUCUGGGAGUAAAGCCUCGGGAAACCGGGGUACUAAUACUGGAUAUGACUCCAUGACGCAUGUUGUGGGGUGGAAAGCCUUGUGCGGCUGAGGAUGGGCCCGCGGCCUAUCAGCUUGUUGGUGGGGUGAUGGCCUACCAAGGCGACGACGGGUAGCCGGCCUGAGAGGG